rnacentral:rRNA from 1 species
AACGAACGCUGGCGGCAUGCCUAACACAUGCAAGUCGAACGAGAUCUUCGGGUCUAGUGGCGCACGGGUGCGUAACGCGUGGGAAUCUGCCCUUUGGUUCGGAAUAACAGUUGGAAACGACUGCUAAUACCGGAUGAUGACGAAAGUCCAAAGAUUUAUCGCCAGAGGAUGAGCCCGCGUAGGAUUAGCUAGUUGGUGUGGUAAAGGCGCACCAAGGCGACGAUCCUUAGCUGGUCUGAGAGGAUGAUCAGCCACACUGGGACUGAGACACGGCCCAGACUCCUACGGGAGGCAGCAGUGGGGAAUAUUGGACAAUGGGCGAAAGCCUGAUCCAGCAAUGCCGUGUGAGUGAUGAAGGCCUUAGGGUUGUAAAGCUCUUUUACCCGGGAUGAUAAUGACAGUACCGGGAGAAUAAGCUCCGACUAACUCCGUGCCAGCCGCCGCAGUAA